rnacentral:rRNA from 1 species
UAUUGCACAAUGGGGGAAACCCUGAUGCAGCGACGCCGCGUGAGUGAGGAAGUAUUUCGGUAUGUAAAGCUCUAUCAGCAGGGAAGAAAAUGACGGUACCUGACUAAGAAGCCUCGGCUAACUACGUGCCAGCAGCCGCGGUAAUACGUAGGGGGCAAGCGUUAUCCGGAUUUACUGGGUGUAAAGGGAGCGUAGACGGAUAAGCAAGUCUGAUGUGAAAAUCCGGGGCCCAACCCCGGAAUUGCAUUGGAAACUGCAUAUCUAGAGUGUCGGAGAGGCAAGUGGAAUUCCUGGUGUAGCGGUGAAAUGCAUAGAUAUUAGGAGGAACACCAGUGGCGAAGGCGGCUUACUGGACUGUAACUGACACUGAGGCUCGAAAGCGUGGGGAGCAAACAGG